rnacentral:rRNA from 1 species
CGCCCAAGAGGCGGGUGCUACACAUGCAAGUCGAGCGAAUGGAUUGAGAGCUUGCUCUCGAGAAGUUAAGCGGCGGACGGGUGAGUAACACGUGGGUAACCUGCCCAUAAGACUGGGAUAACUCCGGGAAACCGGGGCUAAUACCGGAUAACAUUUUGAACCGCAUGGUUCGAAAUUGAAAGGCGGCUUCGGCUGUCACUUAUGGAUGGACCCGCGUCGCAUUAGCUAGUUGGUGAGGUAACGGCUCACCAAGGUAACGAUGCGUAGCCGACCUGAGAGGGUGAUCGGCCACACUGGGACUGAGACACGGUCCAGACUCCUACGGGAGGCAGCAGUAGGGAAUCUUCCGCAAUGGACGAAAGUCUGACGGAGCAACGCCGCGUGAGUGAUGAAGGGUUUCGGGUCGUAAAACUCUGUUGUUAGGGAAGAACAAGUGCUAGCUGAAUAAGCUGGCACCUUGACGGUACCUAACCAGAAAGUCACGGCUAACUACGUGCCAGCAGCCGCGGUAAUACGUAGGUGGCAAGCGUUAUCCGGAAUUAUUGGGCGUAAAGCGCGCGCAGGUGGUUUCUUAAGUCUGAUGUGAAAGCCCACGGAUCAACCGUGGAGGGUCAUUGGAAACUGGGAGACUUGAGUGCAGAAGAGGAAAGUGGAAUUCCAUGUGUAGCGGUGAAAUGCGUAGAGAUAUGGAGGAACACCAGUGCCGAUGGCGACUUUCUGGUCUGUAACUGACACUGAGGCGCGAAAGCGUGGGGAGCAAACAGGAUUAGAUACCCUGUUAGUCCACGCCGUAAACGAUGAGUGCUAAGUGUUAGAGGGUUUCCGCCCUUUAGUGCUGAAGUUAACGCAUUAAGCACUCCGCCUGGGGAGUACGGACGUAAGGCUGAAACU